UUUUAUUUGAGAGUUUGAUCCUGGCUCAGGAUGAACGCUGGCGGCGUGCCUAACACAUGCAAGUCGAACGAAGCACCUUUUGAGAUUCUUCGGAUGAUCGAUCGGUGACUGAGUGGCGGACGGGUGAGUAACGCGUGGGUAACCUGCC
rnacentral:rRNA from 1 species